AACGAUGCAGGGGUGUUUGUAUCCGCGCUGGUGGAGCCAUCUGGUGACCGGCGACCGUGUCAGGAGUUCACUGCCUGGGUGUUCUCGCAGCUGGUGGUGGUCCAUGGUGACCUCAGGACAGGAGAGGUCCGGCAGCGCGCCACGGCGUUUGCCCUGCGCCUGCUGCGCACACUGCACGCGCGGGACCCGCUCCUGCUGGCCGGCCCUGUGCUGGACGUGUGGAUCGCGACUCUGCGUCAGCUGACCGCCGACGGUGGCGUCACGCUGCGGCUGGUCGGUGAAACAUCGCUGCCGUCGGUUGUGAAGACGCUGCAGCCGGGUCUGGAAGUGAGCCGUUUCCGGUGCGGCGUGCUGGAGUUCGCGCUGGCGGACGAGGUGACGCAGCUGCUGGUGCUUACGGGCGCGCAGCUGGACGAGGUCGUCGCCUGCCUUACCCAGCUCGGUCGCACCGGUGCUUGCAGGUACGCGCUGCGUGCGGUGACCGGUCUGCUGGGCCGGCGUCUGACCUCUCCUCGGCACCAGCUGCUCCUCAGCCGCCUGGAGCGGCCCGCGCC